rnacentral:tRNA from 1 species
GGAGCUGUGCCUGAAUUAAAGGGUUACUUUGAUAGAGUAAAUAAUGAGAAUGAAAAUCUCUCCAACUCUU